UACGGGGGGGGCAAGCGUUGUUCGGAAUUACUGGGCGUAAAGGGCUCGUAGGCGGCCAACUAAGUCGGACGUGAAAUCCCCAGGCUCAACCUGGGAACUGCGUCCGAUACUGGAUGGCUUGAAUUCGGGAGAGGGAUGCAGAAUUCCAGGUGUAGCGGUGAAAUGCGUAGAUAUCAGGAGGAACACCGGUGGCGAAGGCGGUUCUCUGGGCAUGUCCUGACGCUGAGGAGCGAAAGUGUGGGGAGCGAACAGG
rnacentral:rRNA from 1 species